rnacentral:tRNA from 1 species
GGGGCUGUAGCUCAGUGGUAGAGUGCUUACCUAGCAUGUGUGAGGCCUUGGGUUCGAUCCCCAGCACCA